AAACUGAAAAGAUUUGUUACAG
rnacentral:miRNA from 2 species